rnacentral:rRNA from 1 species
UACGUAGGGUGCAAGCGUUAAUCGGAAUUACUGGGCGUAAAGCGUGCGCAGGCGGUUUUUGUAAGUCUGUCGUGAAAUCCCCGGGCUCAACCUGGGGAAUUGCGAUGGAGACUGCAAGGCUAGAAUCUGGCAGAGGGGGGUAGAAUUCCACGUGUAGCAGUGAAAUGCGUAGAGAUGUGGAGGAACACCGAUGGCGAAGGCAGCCCCCUGGGUCAAGAUUGACGCUCAUGCA